GUGGAUAUUCGCAAAGAACCACCAGUGGCGGAGGGCGGGCUCCCCGGGCCCAGAUACCUGCCGCUAAGGCUCGAAAGCCUGGGGGAGCAAACCGGGUUUAGAUAACCUGGUAGUCCCCCGCCGUAAACGAUGAAUGCCACCCGUUAGUGGGUUUACUCACUAGUGGGGCAGGCUAACGCUUUAAGCAUUCCGCCCGGGGAGUACGGUCGCAAGAUUAAAACUCAAAGGAAUGACGGGGGGCCCGCACAAGCGGUGGAGCAUGUGGUUUAAUUCGGCGCAACGCGCAGAACCUUACCAGCCCUUGACAUCCCGGUCGCGGACUCCAGAGACGGAGUUCUUCAGUUCGGCUGGACCGGAGACAGGUGCUGCAUGGCUGUCGUCAGCUCGUGUCGUGAGAUGUUGGGUUAAGUCCCGCAACGAGCGCAACCCCCGUCCUUAGUUGCUACCAUUUAGUUGAGCACUCUAAGGAGACUGCCGGUGAUAAGCCGCGAGGAAGGUGGGGAUGACGUCAAGUCCUCAUGGCCCUUACGGGCUGGGCUACACACGUGCUACAAUGGCGGUGACAAUGGGAUGCUAAGGGGCGACCCUUCGCAAAUCUCAAAAAGCCGUCUCAGUUCGGAUUGGGCUCUGCAACUCGAGCCCAUGAAGUUGGAAUCGCUAGUAAUCGUGGAUCAGCACGCCACGGUGAAUACGUUCCCGGGCCUUGUACACACCGCCCGUCACAGCAUGGGAGUUGGUUUACCUGAAGACUUACCAAUAUACAGUUUACGUAAGAUCAUCUGG
rnacentral:rRNA from 1 species